rnacentral:tRNA from 1 species
GGCUCGGUAGCUCAGUUGGUAGAGCAGAGGACUGAAAAUCCUUGUGUCACUGGUUCAAUUCCAGUCCGAGCCACCA